rnacentral:lncRNA from 1 species
UGCUCACAGGAUUAUGGAGGCUGCGAAGUCCUGUGAUUUGCUGAUCUGCCACCUGCAAGCUGGAGACCUGGUGUAGUUCCAGCCUGAGUCCAAAGACUUGAGAACAGGAGAGGUGAUGAUCUCUUGGGUUGAUAGCUUAUGGCAGUGAUAGUCAAGUGUAUCACGCCGUGAAGUCAACUGUUUGAAAAAACACUGUGAAGUGGUUCGAUAUGGAUAUGAUGUCAUAAUCUUCUUUUUGAAGAUAAAGAAACUAAGACUAUAUCAUAAUGUUCUUCUUGAAGAUGAAGAAAUGAAGACUCUUUUUCUAGCAAUCAGUGUCUGACCAGAUGAUAUUCUCUGAACAGAUAGUAUUAACUAGAUCUCCAAUGCAGAAAAUUAACCUGAGAAGUAAUGGCAAGCCCUCCUGCUAUCACCCCCCUUGAGCCCACCUGUCCUACAGAGGUGUCCAUGCCAGCUGACUCCACCAAGACUGACCCUCUGCCAUCCUCUCCUGAGUGCUGAGUAAGAAGGUCAUUCUCUACUUAUUUAGUUUAUGAGGUUCUGUGACUUUUGUGUUGUUUGUAAUAAUGACAUAAUAAUACUUAGCACUUAUACAACUUUUCAUCUUCAAAGUGUUUUCUGAACAUUUACUAAUUAAUUUUACAUUAGUAAAACAUGAGCUGUGUAUAUGUCACUCCAUAAAUAAUAAAUAAUCAUAUGACCCAAGUGGAGGUAGAAUUUAAAACUCAGUGUGAAUGAGGAAACCACAGGGCUACCUGGUUUGAGAAGGACAGUGAGCCUUAACUCAGUUUCACAUUUUUGUGAAUUUGGAGACAAACGGCUGCUCUUCUCACUCCCUAGAAUCCACUUCCAAAAAUUAUGGCAAUUUUUUUUUGCUCCUAUUUGAUGAAAAGCCAAUGACUCUCCAAGCUCUAACCCUUCCUUAGCAGCUAAAUGUUCUUCAACUUAUA